rnacentral:lncRNA from 1 species
UUUUUUAAUGAUUUUUAAGGUAUGUUAUGUUUCUUCCAUAAAUUCCCCAAGUUCUAUGGCUUUUGAUUGUUCAUGGCUUUUGCUAUUUCUAAGUAUUUUAGCAAAUUCCAACUUAUGUUAUUUCUUCUUGGCAUAGUUUUUGGGAUUUUGAGGUGCUGAGGAAACGCCUUCUUAGCUUCCAAUUGCUCUUUGAUUUUGUUGUAGGUUGUCUGACUAGCUUUUUUUCUGAUUGUUCUUACACUCACAAUUGAUUUGAAUCUUAGUUUUAACCAUUAUUUUGGAUUCAAUUCUUACUAAACUAAUUAGGUCAUGAACUUCAAGUUGCUAUCUGUUGAUAGAGAGAAUUAGUAAAUCGUCAAAUCAAAUGUACUUUUUAUAGAUUUUUAAUUUCUCUGCUAUUUUAUCUUUCCAAAUUUAUUUUCGGUCUUAGAUUUGACCACUAAGAGUUGUGUUGGUAUUAAUUAGGUGCAUGUAUGGAAGCCUUUAAUGAGGUGUGAAACAUCAAUAUUACUAAUUUUUAUAUAUGGAAGUGUAUACAUGGAAACUCUUAUUUUCUAUCAUAAACCUAUCCCUGAGUUUUGUAUAUGGAAUUAAAGUACGGAAUCUUGAAUAUUGCUGAAUGUGGUAUGGAAGCAUGAUUCAUUGAUGGUGUUUGGCCGAAAACAUUGUUGGUUUGGUUGAAUCCUACUUCAAUAUACAUCAUUUUUACAGGCCCAAACAACUACCCUCUGCCAUUCAAAAUCCAGAGUUUGCACAUCUUCCAUACACAAAGCAUCGAUUAAUACCAUAAUGGGACAUUUUGUUUAAGUUC